rnacentral:lncRNA from 1 species
GGACCACAGCUGCUUUUGCUCACUGAUACUGUUCUCUUCUGCUCACUGAUACAGUUCUAGUGCUCGGCAAAGGCCAGACAAAUAACCACACCAGUGACAAGAACAUCAGGAGCUACUAUCCGAGGCUUGCCAUGUGCUUAGAAUAUCAGAUCUAAUCUUCACAGACUCUUUGAGAUCAACUGCUCAGUUCUGGUUUGGGCCUUUGAGGGCUGAAGGGGUUUGGCAGGUAAGGAUUUCUGGGCCACCCAUCUCUGCUUUCUGCAGGGCUGU